ensembl:ncRNA C06E2.14 ncRNA
UUUUCCAUGCCGCUUCUUUUAUCUCGGAGUGUGUGUAUGUGUAUGAGGGCGGGGGGCAAAAAGAAAACAAAACUCGUUUUUUU